GUUCUUUUGGAUCCCCAUUUUGAGGCCAGUUUCUUCCCCGAAUUGCGGUUCAGGCUGACUUCCUUCUUUGUCUCGUGAAUGUGGGAGAUGAUGGAGCUGACUGGAGGAAGGCCUCAGGGGGGAACAGCGGACCCAUGGGCUUACAGUUUUGCAAGCCUUGCAGCUGGUGCCUACAAAGUAAGGAGGAUUGCAGAGCUGCCGGCGGCUGCUCGUGUGUGCGGAGCGACGACUGGAGAUACUGCUCUGACCGCUGCUGUGACAUCUGCUGCCAGAUGUGUGUGAACGUAUGCUUUGGCGUGUGUUCAGGAAACUGCAGCUACACCUUCUGCACCCUCUGCCUCAGCCUGGCACAGAACUGUGCCUCUCUUAUUAACACCCAACAAACUGAAACAUCGGAAGCACAACAUACUAUAAUGGCUCCAGAGCUGCAUGCAAAGUGAACAUGUGACCAACCCCAAAAGACGCAAUAGAUUUAAAGCCAGAAGCUAAACCAGGUAAAUUAAACCAGCUGAGGAGCCCGAGCGAGCUUUGGACCGCUGUCUAAUGAGGACUGGGUGGAGGAGCAAAGAGACUUUGACAACAAGUGCAAGAAAGAGCUCUCUGCAGAGGGAAACGUGGCUUUAAAGUUCAUGAAAUCUUUUGUGUAUAAAAAAAUAAUAAAUAGCAGGGGAUUGUAGUCAAAGAUUAUGUAUAAACACUAUAUAAAGGUCUGCCAGAUGUG